UUGAACGCUGGCGGCAUGCUUUACACAUGCAAGUCGAGCGGUAACAGGCCUUCGGGUGCUGACGAGUGGCGACCGGGUGAGUAAUGCAUCGGAACGUACCCAGAGGUGGGGGAUAACGCAGCGAAAGCUGUGCUAAUACCGCAUGUGAUCUGAGGAUGAAAGCGGGGGACCGAGCAGCAAUGUUUGGCCUCGCGCCUUUGGAGCGGCCGAUGUCGGAUUAGCUAGUUGGUGGGGUAAAGGCCUACCAAGGCGACGAUCCGUAGCUGGUCUGAGAGGACGACCAGCCACACUGGGACUGAGACACGGCCCAGACUCCUACGGGAGGCAGCAGUGGGGAAUUUUGGACAAUGGGCGCAAGCCUGAUCCAGCAAUGCCGCGUGCGGGAAGAAGGCCUUCGGGUUGUAAACCGCUUUUGGCAGGAACGAAACGGUGUCCGCUAAUACCGGGCGCUAAUGACGGUACCUGCAGAAUAAGCACCGGCUAACUACGUG
rnacentral:rRNA from 1 species